CCGCGCUCGGCGGCUUCCGAGGCUAAUUCUGUGAACGCGGAGGAAGGAUGUGGCCCGGGUCGCUGGAACAUGAACGGGGAGUGAGGAAGGAUCUAACGUUCAUCCUUACAGUUUCACCGGUGUCUUCCUUCUUAAAUCUGGUGCUGUCAAAUCAUGGUGCAAUCGCAGUCUUCAGUUGGCUAGUGAUGCAAGAGUCCAGCAGAAACGAACAAAGCGUUAGGGAGAGAAUGGAACCUUAUGGAUGGAGGCAAGAGACUCAAAGGAAGAUGCCAGUGAACAGAAAGCCAAGUCCAGAAGAUAAAAAUCCACUUUCACAUCGCUACACUCCAGCACUCGGGGAGAAGGCGCCAACACAUCCCUGAAACACACACACACACACUCUCCACAAAAUGGCUGCAGGUUUCUGGACGCUACUGGUGUCAGAUCCAGGGAGCAGGACAUGCCCAGCGGGUACUCGACGCCCACCAGAAGAGAACACUUCUCUUUUGCUGCAUCCAGCGCAGCUCGGGACCGUGUCUGAGGACGGGCGACGCAGGACUCAAGAAACAGAGACAAAAUAAAGAGCAAAGAUGGGACCAGGGGCCUCAAGAUCUCGUGGCUCCAGAGCCCCGAAAGCCUGGUUGACAUCGUGUUUAUUAGGAGUAAACAGCUCAGAAAAAAACGCUAUCAAGAGGGGGGGCUUCAGCUACUCCAUGCGAUAAGCACUGCGUUCUGCUUGCUGGCUAACUGAUCAGUUUCAGGCCCAUCCCUUCCAGGAACAGCCACCCCGGGUGUGCAGAGUUUCUCAGUCUAUCCUGUUGUUGCCUCCGGGACAUCCCGAGGUAGCACAUACUCCCCCCGGGCUUAACCGCGUGCUCUCAUGCCAGAACCUAGUCCUGCUAGUGGACGACCUGGCUUUCCAGGCCCGUCCGUUGUUCCACACUAAGGAACUAUCUGCCCUCCUUCGAGCCCUCAUGGCCAGUCUCAGGCUUGCCCGCCACACAUUUUCUUUAGCCUAAUACGUGCUAUAGAUGUCACCUGCUGCCUAAAACAUUAAAACAAAGCAAGCGUGUGUGUUUGAAGCAAGCAGUUGUGAAUACAGUAUUUUAAGCUCAUGGAAAUUGAGGUGCGGCUCGUUUCCCAGCACUCUUUUGACAAGGGGUCGCUGCGAACUGCUUACAGCUUAAGCACAGUGGCUGGAAAGUUUUCAGAGACUAGCUCCAGGCUCUGCAGCUCUGCACCCUUGUUUCUCUUCCGCCGGCCCCAGCACUGUGCUGUGGGAGGUGACCCCACCUGCUUGUCAAGACACCAGGGGGCUGGCGCAGUGGGCAGGGGGACAUUCCAGGAAGUCCCUCCUGCAUUGGAAUGGUUAGCAACAAGGUAGGCAUGCAUGGCGCUGUCUAGUGUCACGAACACCCUGAUUGCCGGGAGCGUCCAGCAGCCCGGGUCCGGGCGGGGCUCCGGGGCCUCGUGUGCUCGGAAGGUUGCUGUUCCCUCCCUUGGAAGGUUUGACUCGUUUUCCAGAAGUGCCGC